CGCAGCGUUUCGUAUCCCGCGGUGUCAACGAGCUCGAUAAGUCGCUCGACCCGCGCGGUCCCGAUCCGGUUCACGGCGACAGCGCGCUCUCCGACCAAUGGGACGUGCCACGGCCGCGGCACGUCUGGCAUCUCGUCCAGCACCGGCGCGAUGACGACACGGUCGGCGAAACGCUGAAAUCGGUCGUCGGAGAUCACGAAGACCAGACGUCGCCGCUCCUCCCCGCGGUCGGCAAGCCAAAUCUCACCAGCGGCCGGGGUCAAUCCAGCUCAUCCAUCCACUCGUCGAGGUCGGCCUCGACGGCGCGACGGCGGGCACGCUGCUCGGCGGUCUCGACCACGCUCGCGGCCUCGGCCUCCGCCCAGAACUUCUGCGCCUCGUACAGAUCGAGUGCGGCAACGACGACGUCUUCGAGCGAGUCACCGGCGCCGCCCAACGAUCGCAGUCGAUCGCGGGUCGACGUGCUGAUCUUCAUCGUCGUCACAUCAGCCAUACCGAAAGUAUACCGAGCGUCCAAACGAGUGAGGAUCUGGCGGGCGAUGACCCUGCUGACGCGUCUUCAGCACUCCUUCAGCGCGUGGGUGCACGGUUCGGACGGGGAGCGGCGGAGGCCGCUCCCGACGUCCCGAACGGAGGAGUCAUGAGCAGUAAUGCAA
rnacentral:misc_RNA from 1 species